rnacentral:lncRNA from 1 species
AUGUGGAAGAGGAGCCCCGAUCCGGGGAAGACGGACCCCUACACUAUCCCUAACAGCAUCCCUGUCAGGUCUUUGAACUCACACGAAGAACAAGGAGGACGAGCGCGUCUCCGCAGCAGGCCCCGGGCAGCACCCGGCAGGCGCGGGUUGCAGGCGCCUUCACCUGCUCCUGGAGGAUUCCCCGACCCCGAGGAUCAGCACGCACGGAGGUGCCCAGCGCACCCCAGCGGUUUCAAACAUUCCGCGCUAUCACCGAAGAGAAGACGCACAGAGGGUAAGAGUCGGCAAGAAAAGCAGGGGCGCAGCGCACAGGCUCCGGUCGGAGCUGUCCCGGGCCGGCCAGGGCCUGCUGGUCCUCAGCGCACGCUCCCAACCACAGGUGUGGCGCACCUUCCCCCGCGGCUCGUGCCCGCCCCCCAGCCCCUCCCUCCGCUGUUACUCUUGUGUAUUCCUUUGACCCGUCGUUCCUGACCUUAAUAACAGGAACUUUCAAAAAAAAAUAAAUAAAUAAAAUAAUUAAUAAUAAAUAAAUAAAUAAUAAAUAAUAAAUAAUAAUUUAUAUAUUUAUAUAUAAAAUAUAUACUUAUAUAAUAAAUAAUAAUAAAUAAUAAAUAAAUAAAUAAAUAAAAUAAAAUAAAAUAAAAUAAAAAUAAAAAAAAAUAACAGGAACUUUCGUUGUUGUUGUUGUUGUUGUUUAUGAAUUUAUUUUUUGUUGGUGUUCAAUUUGCCAACAUACAGAAUAACACCCAGUGCUCAUCCCCUCAAGUGCCCCCGUCAGUGCCCGUCACCCAGUCACCCCCACCACUGCCCUCCUCCCCUUCCACCACCCCUAGCUCGUUUCCCAGAGUCUUUCAUGUUCUGUCUCCCUUUCUGAUAUUUCUUACAGGAACUUUUAAAACGUAAAGUAAGCUUCGGAUCUAGAUAAAAAGUUCUUUGUUGUGUUACAUAAAUUCUCUCAUUAUCUGAGUGACUUGAAGGAGCACCUGCUUGGCUAAUUUUGAAAGAUACAUCGAGGAGAGAAAUCUGAAAAUAAUAAUGAUAUUUCAUUAUUCAUAUUUCAUUAUGAUAAUGAUACAACCCCCAUUCUCCUUUCUUACUGCUCCAUCCCACAUUUUGAAGGGCUUUGUACCUGCGUGUAUGAACAUCUCAAGAUAUACACUUCCAAGCUGCAACACGCUCCUGGCAGAGCCAGUCCAGGGCCAGCUCCAAGGCCGAGGAGCACGAAUGGUCUGCCCUCGGAAGGAUGGCCCCAGGAAAGAGGCCUGAUGCAUGCUCUGGAAGAAGGGACCAGCAGGCUGCUUAGGCAGCGAAUUCUGGGAACCCCAGUAAAUACAGUGUGGACUCCAUAUCCACAGGAAGAUAGGUGGCUAGGAGAGGCCCCAGGGCACAUGCACCUCUUGCCAGGGGUAAACAUGGUACUGAGUGGAUGCUCCAGAGUUUAAGGGGAUAUUUGUGUUUAACCAUUCAUUUCCAAUGUAGUUCUGUGGUUAACCCAACAGGCUGUCUUUUCCAAAAUCCCCAGCUUCCUGACUCUU